UUGCUUGCUUUGGCAACACAUAUGCUAAAAUUGGAAUGAUACAGAGAAGAUCAGCAAGGCCUCU
rnacentral:snRNA from 1 species